UGGGUCCCACUCUUAAGGAAAAUUUGCACAAUUAUCUCCAUCUUUGCAGCACUUCGUUCCUCUCUCAUUUUUCUUUUCUUUUAGCAUUUUGUUUUUGUGGAAAAUUUUCCUUUAUAAAAUGUACUUGAAUCCACAUAUCUCUUUGAUUGAUGAGAUAUUGAUCUUCUUAUCAAAAUCAUGACAUUUUCUGCAAAGAAAUAUAAAAAUGUUAGUAUUAAAAUUAAAUAACAACUUAAUUUAUACAUGGUAUUUUUCUCUUAUCAUUAUUCUAUUGUUAAAAAAUAACAAACAAUUAGAUAACGUAUCCUUCACACUCUCUUCCCAUAGGAUUUGAGUGUAAGGAUCUCCUAUUCCUUACCUUCUUAUCUUGUCAAACUCAUUAACACCUCUUGUUCUCAAUAUAGAAUUUGACUCUUAUUACUAUUCAAAAUCCUCCUCAUGUGAACUUCUAGCUCUUCAAAAUUAUGACAAAAAACUGCCCUAUGAUCCAAAGCAUGAUUGGCCAAAGCAUUAGCCAAUUUAUUAGCCUCUCUCAAUGUAUGGGUGAAGAUUACAUCCAUAUUUUUAAUUAAGAUUUCCACUUCUUCCACCCAAUUAUUAAUACUCCAAGGUGGUUUCCAUCAUUCAGCAAGUAUUUUUUGAAUCAUCUUUGAGUCAGUCUGUACAAUGAUAUUCUGUAAAUCAUUACCCUUGAAAAACCUCAAAGCUUCAUGUAUUGCACAGAUCUCUGCCUCUGUAUUAGUGGCAUAACCUAUGUCCUCUGCCUGCACAUGAAUUAAGUUCCCUUCCGCAUCCCUAAAAAAAAACUAUAUGAACUUCUUGCAGGAUUUCCUCUUGAAGUUCCAUCUAUAUUGCAAACACACCAUCCUAGAGGGGGAAAUUUCCAUAUUACUUUCGUUACUCUUAUAGUUGCCCACCCCCUUCCAUCAUUUGUACCAAUUCACCCCAUUAAUUAGGAAUAUUCCAAAUUGAGGGAUUCCUCAUUUGAACCAACCUCUAAAUGGUCACAAAAACCUAGUAAAUAACCCUGCUUUCAGUCUUUCUUUGUCCAUGCUUUAUCCCAUUCCUCCUCUUUCAUAAUUCCCACAGAAUAAUUGAUGGAACUGCAUAAUAAAUCCGCUUCAAUCUUCCUAUCACUGGUGCUUGCCACCAUUUCACAAUGAGUUGUUGAAGUUGUAUUACAUCCAUAUUUAUACUUGCACUAGCACAAAAAUAGAACCAUGUUCUCUUAGCUAUAUCUGAUGUGAGGACAAGAUUUUGAAUUGUUUCUUCCUUAGGAUUUAGGCAGCACCAACACCUAGACACCAUAUUAAAUUUCAUUUUCCUCAAUAUAUCAUUCAAAGGUAACUUAUAUUUCCAACACCUCCAUAAGAAGAAAGAGAUUUUACAAGGCAAGCCUUUUUCCCACAUGAACUUAUAUUUGUCAAUUUCCUGCCCCCUCAACCUAACAAAAUCCCAAGCAGAUCUUACUGAAAUUCACCAUUAUUAUUCAACAACCACCAUGGUUUGUCAACUCCUCUUUGCAUCCUGGGUGGUGUAACUGUAUUUGACAUAUGCUCCACUACCUCUGCAGAUAGUAUUUCCUGUAGUCUUUCGAUAUUCCAUUUCCUGUAGUCUUUCAUUAUCCUCAGUUAUCACAUGGUAAACUGCCCCUAAUCCAGUCCAGUUAUCAAACCAAACUGAGAAUCUCCCAGUCUUACUUGCCACCAAAUUUGAUGCUCUAUUAAAUCCCUGGCAUCCAAUAUCAUUUUCCAAGUCUGGGAUCCAUAUUUCCAUUUAACAACUACUGCAUGCUCUUUUCUACAGUAUUUAUUGGUCAUGAAAGCACUCCAUAGUGUAGGCUUAGUUCUAAAAUUACACCAUAAUUUACAAAAUAAAGAAAGAGCCACGUCAUGAAGUGAUCUAAAACCCAAACCCCCUUCUUUUGUUGGAACACAAAGCUGGUUCCAUGAAACCCAAUGUCUGCUUUUUCCCCCAAUAGUAUUACUCUAGAAGAAUUGAACAAACAUCUUGUGCAUUUGCCUAAUUACCCCAAUUGGUGGGUUAACGGUAGAUAGCAUAUGAAUUGGCUACUUUGUAGAACAUGAUUAAUUAGUAUUUCUUUUCCUCCAAAGGACAACAUCUUGCCUUUCCAACCCUGAAACUUGUUCAUAAGCUUGAUAAUCAAGGCAUUGAAGAAUUCCUUUUUCCUCCUGCAAUGAUAAAUAGGACACCCCAAAUACAUAAAAGGAAAAUCCUUUCUAUUAAUACCAGUUGCAACCUCUACAGUAAUGCUAAUGUCCCUUGGAACAUUUUUAUGCAUAUACACAGAACUCUUCUCCAUAUUGAUUUUUAGCUAGAUGGCUUCUCAUACUUCUUUAGAAUUUCCAUUAUAAGAUAUAGAGAAACAAUGUCUGCUGAUGUGAAUAUAAUCAUAUCAUCAGCAUAAGCAAUAUGUGUUACACAUCGAAAAUUUUCACGUCGUUUGUAUCGUAAGUAAACUAACGUAAGCCCGGAGAGGUCAUGGAACCCUUAUAAGGUUAAGGAAGAAUUUUAACAAGUGCUAAGCAGGUGUCUAAAGGUUCCGGGAUCAAUCGAAUCGAAGGAAUUAAGUUUGUCGAAAUUUUGGGGAAACUUGGCAUAAUUUUGGUUGUGAAUUUUUGGUCCAACUUGAGGGAGGUAUAUCUCCUAGCAUAUGAUGAGUUAUGGAAUGCAUAACCUAUGUAAAUUUAAGUUCAGUGAGUCUUCUUUCCAAUACAACUAGCAGACCGCAAAUCUGAGAAGUACGGGAUAAAGUACGACCCGUAAAACAUUAUACGUCCCGCACCUCAUUUCCCGUAAUUUCCAGAAUUUUCCAAAAAGUUGGAAAAUUGAUCUUCCAGGUACGGGCUGAAAGUACGGGACGUACAAAAAUGCACGACCCGUACAUGGAGGCCGUACCUUAUGUCUGUGGAAAUUUUUUGUUGGCCUAUAAAUAGAUUUCCCAUGACUUGGGGCUCAUUUGUUCACCAAAACAUAACCCUAGUGACCCUCUAAGCUCUCUCCAUCAUCCAUAAACAUCCCAAAUCAUUUCAAGAGAAGACCAAGCUCUAAAAUCCUCAACUAGUUCAUAGAAGUGUGUGUUCUUACUUCUAGUUAGAGUGGUGGUGAAUAAGCUUUGGAGUAAAUUGUGUGAGGUGAAGUUCUUCAAGCUAUAAGGUAUGUUCUUCACUCUAAUACUUAUGUUGGGUUGAUUUGGAGGUUUAGUAAGUCUUAAAGCUGGAGAGAAUCAUAGUAGAAAGGUCAUAAAGUGUUGUGUUGAAGUUGUUGACUAUGGACUGAUUUUGAAAGCAAAUUUUGGGAUUAAUUUGAGAUUAGUUUGCAUAUAAUCUUUUGGCUAUCGUAUUGUUGAUAUUGUUAUUAAUGUUUGGGAGUUGUUAUGGAGUUGGGAGGAAGUGUAUGAUAUAGGGGAAAUGCUGUCCAAAUUUUGUUAGCUCACCUAUUAGUUUAGUUUGACCUUAUAAUUGUUUCAACGACUUAACCUUAGUGUGAAUCAUCUUGAAUUUAUAUUUGAGAGCUCGAAAAGGUAAACGUUGAUUGGUUAAGUAGACGAUGAGGUAUGUUAAGGUUGUCCCUUUCUUUCUUUUGGCAUGAUCAUAUUGAUACGAACAUAUACAAAUAUCCUUCAUAAUGACUCCAUUCCUAGAAAUAUUGGAAGCUUAUGUUCUUGAUCUUCUCAUGAUGUUAUUGAUUUUAUCUCAUGGUUAUUGAUCUUGUCUCAUAGUUAUUGACCUUGUUUCUGGUUGUUGAUCUCAUCUUAUGGUCAUUGAUUCCUUCAAGGUGAGAUAUGCCAAUGAUGUUAGCUCCAUAAUGAUAAUCGGAGGUAUAACGACCUUACGUCACUCCGAUAGAGUCGUAACAUUUCUUUGAUCUCUCAUGCAUACUUUAUAUAUGUAUGCAGCUAUUUUCUGACACCGAGCCGCGCUAUAGUCGGUCGGGUACGGCAUCUAUUGUGCAUACUACUGCAGUUAGGUACGGAUAACACCGAGCCUAAUAUGGAUGGGUAUGGAUAACACCAUGCCUUAUGAUGGCCGGGUACGGUAUUAUGAUAUAUAUGUAUGAAAAUAUUUUUUUUAAAAAGGAAAGCAUGGAUGACAUCAGCCUUAAGAGGCAUUCAGAUGUACAGGUUGUUUCUCUUUUAUCUCAUGUCUUUAUUAUACUGUUUCCAUGCCUUAUAUACUUAGUACAUUAUUCGUACUGAAGUCUUUCUGUUUAUGGACGGUGCGUUCAUGCCUGCAGGUAGACAAGAAGACGGUUCAAACCCUUAGGCUGCCUUCUUUGCGAUUGGUAAUGGAGCACUCCACUUGUUUUAGAGUUGCGGCCUAGCUUGUAAUGCCUGUAACGAGGAAAACUUCAGCGGCCCCGAAGGGCAAGUCAGUAACAGGUAGGAGAACUGGACGGGUACCGCUUGUAGAUGUUGAGGAGGGCGAGUCCCAUAAUGAGGUCCCAUCUCAGACCUCUCAUACUUUGCCCGCCCCAGAGGAGCAAAGAGGAGCUCCAGCUCCAACACCCCCAGUUCCUCCACCUGAUGCCUCAAACCAGGAGAUGCGAGAGGCUAUUUGGUUGUUGACUCAGUUAAUCGCCGCUCAGGCACAGCGACAGGGUACAGUUUAUGGUAACAAGGCUCCAGAAUUCUUUGGGUCGAAACCAGAUGAGGACCCACAGAAUUUUAUAGAUGGGAUGUUGAGGACGUUGCGGGUGAUGCAUACUUCAGACACUGAGUCAGUAAAGUUGGCUUCUUAUAGAUUACGGGAUGUUUUCGUUCAUUAGUAUGAGACCUGGGUGUCAUUUAAAGGGAUUAAUGCACCCCCGCCCGUAUGGCAGAAGUUCACAGAUGCCUUUUUUCGGCAUUAUUUGAGGCCAGAGAUUCGACGGGCCCAAUCUGAUAGGUUCAUGAACCUUAGACAGGGGAAUAUGAGUGUUCAGGAGUACAACCUUCAUUUUUAUUCAUUGGCUAGAUUGUUUCAGUUGUUGUAGCUGAGAUGGGAGAUUGUAUCUACCAGUUUGUGAGCGGAAUGGGACCACAUUUGGUUGAUGACUUUAUGACAGCCUCACUCCAGACAAGUAUGGAUAUUAUCAUAUUCAGGCGCACACUCAGAAUCUAGAGGAGCGUAAGCAGCAGCUGAGGACUGAGCGUGAGCAUGAUAGGGGCCAGAGUAAGAAGGCUAGCUAUUCAGGUGCUGUCAGUGAGUUUAGAGGUGGUCAGAGGCAGCAGUACAUAGGCAUUCAGGCCACUCAGCGGCUAGUUCACCUCUGCAGUUUACAGGCUAGAGAUUUGAUCGAUCUACUAUUCAGAACCAGGUCAGGGUUCUAGAGCCUCAGGUUCUCGGUAUAGAGAUAAGACAGGCUAGAUUAGGCCACAUUUACCACGAUGUACUCAGUGUGGUAAGUUACAUACGGGACCGUACUGUUUGGGUUCAGAUUUUGUUAUGCUUGUGGUAAGACAGGCCAUAUUAUGCGUGAGUGUCCAGCGAGAGGUGGUAGAGGUAUUGUUCAGCCCACCGAAUCAGUAGUUGGUUCAUCAACAUUGGUAUGUCCUUUGGGGAAAGGAUUGCAGGCAUCCGUAGGCCGCGGUAGAGACAGAGGGGGAGCUUCUAGCUCAAACGGUCCUCAGAACCACAUUUAUGCAUUGGUUGGUCGCCAGGAUCUUGAGUUUUCGCCUAAUGUGGUUACAGGGUGUAGAGUUGUUACAGGUUGAGUUCAUGGAUUAGUAGCUUCCUCGGAUUCUCCAGUGUCCAUCUCAAAUACUUCUGCUAAUUCUAUUCCAAAACAGAUGUUGUGCUCCAUUGUAUUACAUUAUUCAAUUGUAAAUCUUAAAAACUCUUGUACUAGUCUAGAACCGGUUUUGGGAAUUAGUUAUUAUAAAAGUAUUUCUUGCAUAAAUUCUAAUUUCAAUGGAUAAUGGAAUUGCUAGUGUUGUGUCAUUCAUUCUUUAUGUAUUGAAUGAGUGCUUGGUAAAAGGGUUCGCCUCCUAGGUGGGAUUUGAGGAGGUGCCCGCACGAUCCCUGAUUUGGGUCGUGACAAGUUGGUAUCAGAGGCUAUAGGGCAUUUAGGAAACUUCUUUUCUUUCUCUCUUAUCGUGCCACCUCGGUCAAUUUGGCAUCUAGACAUGUCCAAUUGGUAUAUGGUUGAUUCUAAUUGGUAUCUAGAUAUGUCCAAUUGGUAUCUAACAAUGAUAUUAUUGUGGUGUUAUGUGGUCUAGUUCGUGUGUAAAAAGCGAUUCGACAAGUUCUAAGUAUUGUGCAAGUUUUGAGGGCUUCUGAAUUUCCCACUGGUUCAACCUUCUCGCCGCAGUAAGCAAGGGUUCACGCCCGCGAAGGGAGGGUCACCGUGGUGAUGGCAAGUUUUGGGUUAAGUACCGCUCCAGCGGAGCCUUGUCCGUAGUAGCGAGUCCGCCAUAGCGGAUUUGUGUCCGCUGGAGCGGACUCCUCAUGUUCCUUCUUAUCCGCUGUAGCAUAUCAUCUUUUGUUAUAGCAUGUCUGCCAUAGCGGAUCUCACGUCCACUGUAGUAGUAUUAUGGCAGAAAACAGUGAGUUAUUGCCCAAAUCUCCAAAACCUGUCCAAAUUCAAAAAUUAGAGAAACAACAUUUCACGACUAGUAAAUUCAGAUACAUCACCAAGCACGACAAAGGUAAAAUCCAUCAGAGUCAUAUCACAAAAACAAAUAUGGAAAAACAAGAAAACCAAUUGUUUAACAUUCAUCAAGAGAAAUUAAAAACCAAUGUCUGAAAAUCAGGCCCUAUAAGGUAAAAACCAUUACUCAGAGGGAGAAGACCCCUCCUCCUUCCUUGUGCUAGUUGCUUCAUUUCCCUCAUCAUCUGAACUGCUGACCUCCCCACCAUCCUCGAGCUCGCUCAGAAAGGAGUAACUCUCUAGAUCGUCCUUGUCCGCAAUCGGAAGCCUUGCCUUCGACUGCAUGACCUUGAACAUCCCUUUGACGCCUCUCCACAUCUUUAUAAACAGCUUGUCCCUGGACAUUUUCUUCUUCCUCUCCUUGUCAAAAUCCAUCUGAAGCUCACCAUGGGCCUUAGCCAUAGAGGUGUAGAUGGUCUGCAAGGUGGCCACUUAAGUCUUCAUAUCCUCCUAUGUCUUAAAAUCCUCCUACUUCUCAUCGUGAGAGAAGUAACCAGCAGCAGUACCUGACAGGCCGUCCUUGAUGGAAGGCCUAGAGAGCCCAAGGAUUAAACCCUUCAUCACCUCCCUUUGUGUAUCCAGCCGCUAAAAAGGAUCCUGAGUCUGUGAAAGUGCAGUCUCGUCCUCUUUCUCUCUAAGGCCCACAUCACUCCCGACGCCCUCGUCGACCUUCCUUUUCUUGCUCUAGAUCACAGAACCACAUCCCUUCACUUUUAGAGGGUUGAAGUCAAUAUCUGAGUCAACCCAAUCAUCCUCAUUUCUUCGCUGGACAUCUGCCUCCUGGCAUAGGGCGGUGAUGAGGGAGGGAAACAUCAAGCUCGGACCCUAAUCCACCAUAAAUUCCCUCCACUCUUGGAUUACAUAAUGACCCACAUUCACUGGAAUGUCAUCUAGGAUGCAAGAAAUCAUGAGAGCCCGAGGGUAGGUAACAUCGAUCGUAUUGCUCAAGGAGCGUACCCAUCAAGAAAUGAUGUUCAGCCACCUCCUGGCCUCAGCAGUGAAAUUGAUACACUUGAUUUCGGUCCUCCUAUUUACCUAAUCGACCUUCCUCCUCUCCUCCUCCGCUACUAUCUUCGGCACUAACCAAGCCCCGUUACCCUCGUAGUUUUCUCAACCAUGGCCUCCACCGGUUGGUCCCCAAAGCGAUGGUGGGCAUCGAUCACCAUAACCCCAAUCUUCACCAUGGUGCACCGAAUAAUGAUUUUCGGAUCCAGAGCGGACAAGUCUACCGUCUUGAGCAUAGCAUAAAACUCUCCUACCUUUUUUUUCUUAUCAAAUCCACCCAAAGAGGUGGAAUUUUACUCCAUAAUAGUAUUUACAGAUAGGAAGCAAAAUAUUUACAGAAAAAAGAAACUAUCUAAUAGUGGAAAAAUAAGCUAACUAUGAUCAAAACCUUAAUACUGCAUCUACUAAAUAAAGCCAGGGACCUGGAUUUGUAUCCACCUAUCACACCUUCAAGUCUAAAAAAAACUCUCUUACACAAGUUUCAUUUGAUUUGCCGGGAUCAGAGGUGAAGCAAUCACACCUAAUUCUGUACAACCCGAUCAUAGAACUCCGGGGCACGUCGAUCCACCUUGUUAAUGUUAAGGCCCCUCUCCAAUAACAACCCCUUUCUCACAAACUCUAAGUAGCGGCGAUGAUAUUAUAGGGUCGGGAAGAGAACGUAACUCUGACCUCCUUCGUUUUGAGCCAUGUUUCCAAAUUUUGUACAUACAACAAUCGACGAAGUUAGGUUUAGCAAUUGCGCCAAGUCCAGUAACUGAUUAUGUGUUUUACAAGCCAAGGAAACCAGCAAAAAUAACCCUAGCUACGUUAGUGCAAGGCUACUAUUUUUUUUCUCCAAUUUGGAGUAGGCUUCGCAGCGGCGAUAGUAGCACCACUGUAGCGAGACCACGGCUGUGGAAAAAUAUUCGCCAGGGCGAACCUGAUCUGCGAUAUCAUUUGUUGAGAUGCGGGAACGAAUUUACCACAACGAACAAGCACACGCACACAUGUAACAAUCCCUUUUCCCCUUCGUCCACGCCAGCACACCCUUGUGCGCCACGGCAGAGUCGCGCCAGUGGAUACGUUUCCGCGGUGGCGGACUCAUCGUCCCCAGCGAAACAAGCCUAAAAAUUUUCAAAAAUUUUCUCAAAUUUUUGGACUCAAAAUUAGUGUUUUACUCACCGAUCGGCUAGUAUUCAAGCAUGCAUGACUUUUAAACUCUAUUGAAAACAAUUUCAAGCAACAAACACCCCCAAAAUUUGCAAAGAAGCUAACCCACUACCAAGAACAAUGCACCAUUAUAUUCACGUUUCUCACCCCAAAAUCAAGCAAUUCUAAAGCAUUACGCAAUGAUGAAACUAUUUUUGGUGCUAAACAAGUCACAAAUUUUGGAUUCUCCCUACCACCAACUCGAAAACCCAUCAACCCAAAUUUAAAGUUUUCUUGCAAUUUUUGGUAAUAAGGCAUAAAAGAGUUCAGAUUGGUAGUCUCAUAUUUAUUCUAGAGUUGUUAGAAACGAUUACAUACCUUGAUUUGAGAGCUCGAGAGAGAUUGCACUAUAUUUUGUUAACCCUCCUUGCAAAGGAAAUUUUGCCCUUUUUGCUUUGUGGGAUUUUCAAGUGUUUGAUAGAGAAUGGGUUUUGAAUAAGGGUAAGGGGAAGUGUUUUUGGUACUAAAGGGAAGAGUUGGGAGGUUGAAUUGUUAUGGGAGUGGGAGAGAAAUUCGUGUAGUGGGGGAGUGGAGUGAAAAGUGGGGAAGGUGAAAAAUCACCCCUUUUGUAUCUGGAAACGUCGACUUCCGCUACGGCAGAAGUAGGUCGCCACAGUGCAGAAUUCGCCAUAGCAUCCAAUCCACCCGUUUUCUUGGAUUUUCUCCGAAAUGCAAUGUGCGCCGCGCCAGCGAAUGUGCGCCCGCAGGUCGUGUUCCAUGGUAGCGAGACCUGUCGUUCCUUUUCCCCUUAAGAUUAAUUAUCCAUUUUAAUGCAGCCCGAGUUUAUUCUCAGUUGGAGUGUGACCUAGAGAGCCAUGUGGGUCAUUAAAAAUUCGGUACCCAGAGAGCCAAGUUGGAGUGUGACCUAGAGUUUAUUCUCAUAAUUCAUGGUGUUAAUUUGUAUUCGCAAGAGGACGGUCCCAAUUCUUUUGCAAACAAGAUUUGAUUCGCAAAUAAAGGCCAGGAUCAAUAAAUUCAGGUGUAAAUUUUUGUCGUUGACCCUGGUUAUUUUUUUGUUGUCGGUUGUGUCAACCCCAUUUGCCUCCUUUCACCUCCACACUGUUUGAGGACGAAUGGUUUUUUAAUUGAUAUCUUAUGUAACGACCCGUUAGGCCAUUACUGAACCUUUCUCAAUUCGUAUCCUAAACCUUCCUGAUUUGUUGUGCCCGUUAGUUUCACGCGGGAGAUUUUCUAUUUAAGUUGAGCUGAAGUCGAGAUAGAAGGAAUUUAAAAGUCGAGUUAGGGCCACUAGUUCCAGUACUUCGCCGUGGAGAGGGGUGGACCACUGCAGCGGAUCCGUCCCAGCGAAUCUCUGCUCGCUAUCGCGGGAAGCUCACGACUAAGGUUCUUCUCCCCAAUGGAUCCAAUUUCCACCAUGGCGGAAGAGACGAACUUCCUUGAGCCCGCCCCCGUGGUCGAUUAUUCGCCGUAGCGGUCUUGCGCUACAGUGGUCUCAUUGUCGCCACAACGAAUGACGUUGGGCAGACCUAGUAUUUAAAGUCCAUUUCGGGUUUUGACCUCAUUUGUCACCCAACUCUCAAAUCCAGCCAACAUUUGGGGCAUUUUCGGAGCAAAUCUCAUGGAACCUAGGGAAAGACCUUUACGUCUCGGCCUCCUUUUGGAAAUAGAAGAUGAAGAUCAAGUGGAUGUUCGCGGCACCUGCUCGGCCUCGAGGAUGAGACCACAAUUACAACCCCUCUCUAAUAGAGGAUGGGGAGGCUGAGGUACUAAUAAAGGAACAGGCAGAGGCACUGUCCUUGCCCAAAUGGGAAACCAAAGGCUCAUAGCCGCUAAUAUUGCAGGAUCUUCCAGUAAUAGCAAGGAAGAUAUCACAUAUCAACAAUAUCUGGAUUUUAUAAAAUCCUAGAAGACAAAGGAUAAUAUGCCACCUUCGUAUUCGGAUGCCCUUACUGAGAAUGAUAAUGAGGACACAGAUUCAUAUGAUAAAAAUGACAUCAGCGAGUUAAUAAUUCUCCUUGAAAAUGAAGACCUUCGAUGGAAGGAUGAACCUUGGAAAAUAAUGCAAAGGUAUCUUGAUACAGCAUCAUACGCUACUUAUACUUAUAAGCAUAGAAUGAAUUAAGAGUUGAUUCUUCUUCCUUAGGAUCGGCAGAAUUUCAACAUUUUUAUCCUGCUAAUAGGAGAAAAGUUUAUAACUUUUCAAAAAUUAUUAUAAAAAAAGUUUUUUUCUCCAACAGAAUGGGGAAUGAGUACUCUCAAGGAAAAGGAUUAUAUUCAUCCUGAGCAAAAGAUCCCUGUAAAAUUUAGUUAUUGGAUUAUGUUGAAGGCUUCAAUAAAGUCCUUUUAUAUGAAAAUAAUAAUAGAAAGCAUUCAUGGUUUAUUAAAAUAUGUGUCAAUGUUGAUAAACAAGGCAUUCCAAAUUGGUUCUGUCAAUGGUGGAUUCAUUAUGGUCCAACCAUCCAAAUUUUACCUGAACCCUUUAAAAGUUUAUAUACUGAAUGGGUUGAAGUUUCUCCCAAGCUAAUAGACUUGGAAACAAAUAAUACAUUCUUUGAUGAAAUUGCUAAUAUGUAUUUCUUCAUUGAAUUCUCUAUCCCAUGGAUUAUGAAAUGGUCUGUGGAAGAGGGUUAUACCCCACAAAAUAUACCUUGUUUUAAUAGAAUUUUUUAUACAUAAUUCUGGAAGAAAUUAAUCCAGAAAUCUACUGAUGGCACCUUCCCUGGCCAAGAGUUAAUAGACCAAAUUCAAGCCACUAUAGCUAGCUAUAGAGACUCAAUUAAUUCCAGACAGCAAAGGAAAAUUUCCAGUCCUUUUCAGCACAUUGCCAGAAGGAUUCAAAUGAAAAAAUGAGUCAUAUCUCAAGAAGAAAUGAUAGCAGCUUACGUGGAGGAAUUCAAAAAGGAUUUAAUAAAAAAUUUGGACAUUGAAAUCCCUUCAAAUAUAUCUAUGGCAUCAGUUGGUAAUACCACAGAUAAUGAAAAUAAUGAUGCAGACGCUGAACACACAUGUUUAGCCGGAGAAUCUCAACGUCCUGAUAAUACUGAGAAUUUUUCACAAUUCAUGGCCCAAUUCAAAAGCAAGCAGGAAGAAUAUUUCAGCUCACCAAAAGAUCGGGAAAAAUAAAAAAUGAAGUGAUAGGGCAGCCCCACAACAAGAAUCUGCUUUUAUAAAGCAUAUCUUUAUUAAAGAAAAGUAUUUUGUUUUAUUUAAUUAUUGUACUUUUACUUUUAAAAGUUGUAGCUUUUUCUUUUCUUUGUCAGUCAUUCUUAUCUUUUAAUUUUGUCGUUGUUAUGAUGAUCCAUUAUAAAAGGAUCCUGUGUUGAAGAUAGAAGGCAGGUUUAGACACAACCCCCUUCGCUCUCUUGUAAAAACACUCUCCCUAUAAAAGUGUGUUGUUUGAUAUACAUCCAUCUCUACUGAGCACAACAUCCAUAAAUUAGGUAAUUUUAAUUUCCUUUAUUUUGUUUUAUUUUAAAAUUACAUAUUCAUAUUUAGCCUAAAUAAUAGGCUAAACACCUUGUGUUGAACUAUAUCAUACUAGACUACUAGGUAUUAUGGUGAAAAUGCAUUAAUAAUCAAGAGUUCACCAAGGAUGGUACUGAGGUCAGGUAGAGAAUAACCCAGGCGGACUGUUCAGAUUCAGAAGGUGGUCCUAUUGUUAUGCCUGCUAAGCCGAGGUGGCGUCUAGGGCUGUUGUUGGACUUGUUCUGGAUUGGACAACCUCCUUGCCAAGGUUAUUGACCUAGUAAAAGUCCUUCUGUAGCACCAUCCCGAAGUACGGUCCUGCGUUAAAUGGUAUCAGAAUCGGGUUGCACAUUCCGCAACAUAUAUUGGAUUAGGUUGCACGCCGUAUCAGGUACAUGGACUUCGAGGGUCCCCCAUGGGUCAUGAUUGUCGAGGCGUGGAGGUAUUCCGCUCGGAGCACGUGUGUACGGAGAUUACAUUGGCCAUUGAAUAUCAUUGCAUUGCAUACGCAUUUAUUAUCACCAUCUCAUUUUACAUCCAUUGACCGAAUUUGUUGGUUGUACUUGUGUUUGUGGUUAUUCUUAGGCAUUGUGGGAAACUUGGCAGACUUGCAUUUAGGUUCUUCACCAUAAGCUAUGAUUCGUCUAUUUGAUCUUUUUGUACUAGAGUUGCUAUUCUUGAGACUGUGUGUAUGAUGGUAUUUGGUUCAGUAGGGUAUUUUUAUAUGGUAUCAUGAGUCCCUGUGUUGUUCACCCUUCCGGUGUGAUUUGUCUAUUUAUCUUGUUAGGGGGUGGAAAAUCCCCUAUUGAGAGUAGUUUUAUAUUGAGUAGUAGGCGCGAACUUGAUCUAUAAUUGGUCUUAGUGAGGUUUUCAUACUUGAUGACGUGGGUAAUAUUCGUGAGGUUCUUGUCUUGUAUUGCAUUGUUUGCAUAUUGAGGAGUAGAAGUUCAUAUCUAGGCUUGAAUGCUGAAUUGUAUCCUUGUGGUAAAACCUUCCCCGGUAUUGAAUCUUUAGACUGACAGAGUUACUGCCUAUCAUACUUAUAUGUUGUUUACUAUUGUUGUUAUGUUUUACUAAUCCUUAUCGACCUAUGAUACUUACCAGUACGAGUGUUGUACUGAUACUGCUCUUCUACACCCUAUUCGGGGUGUAGAGUUGUUACAAGUUGAGUUCGUAGAUUAGUAGCUUCCGAGUAUUCUCCGGCGUCCAUCUCGAAGACUUCUGUUUAUUCUAUUCCAAAACAGAGGUUAUUCCCCAUUGUAUUAUCAUUAUUCAGUUGUAAAUCUUAGAAGCCUGUGGCAUUCAUUCUUUAUGUAUUAAAUGAGUGUUUUGUAAAAGGGUUCGCCUCCUAGGUGGGAUUUGGUGAGGUGUCCGCAAGAUCCCUGAUUUGGUUCGUGACAUGUACUCUCUCUCCUUUAUAUUACCCUGUUCCUUCAUUCUGAGACAGUUUAUAUUUCUGUAUUAGCUAAGAUUGUAAUUUCUUUAGAAGUUCUUGUACGAGUAAGGCCAGAUUUUGGGGUUGUAAUUGACUAUGUACUAUUCCGUACUUAUUUAUAUUUAUGAUAAGGUUGUUGGAUAAUAUCGAUGCUGUAAAUGAUUUUCUUACUUUCUUUCUAAAUGAAUUACUACUCUAGAAUGGUACGCCUAGCGGUGGAAGGGCGUAGGUGUCAUCAUGAUCCUCGAAUUUGGGUCAUAACAGAACUCAAGUCGCAACUCCUCAAUCUACAACAAUACGACAACGGAACAAAUAUUAACGAGGGAAAAACUAGAAUACGGUAUAUCGAGCGACAAGCUCAUCUCUUAACAAAUACCAACGCUUCUCUAUAGCUUUCUCUUCUUUACAAAACUUGUAGUGCAGGAACCACAACAUGAUUACGUUAUACUUCGAGAUUUCUAGCCAUAAAUAGCUCAAGAACACCUCAAAACAAUCCACAACACUACAACAAUUCUAAUAUGAUUUCCAACCUUUCUUUCAAAACUUCUUUUCCGGACUGUCAUGACCCAACCCGCCAUGACUGGCAAUACGCCUAACCAUCUACUCAUUCAAUCCAUUUUUAGUUAAAUAAUUCGUAAUAUUUAAACACAAGAUAAAUCAAUAAAUAGUCAUGCCAUAAAAUAAUAACGUAAAUGCGGAAGUCCUAACUAUUACAACCCCAAAAUCCGAAAGUCACCGUACAAGGACUCUAAUCCAAAACAUGUCUAAGAAAUGUAUACAUUCUGAAAUAAAUAACCAUCAAUGUCUGGAAUGGAAAUAGACAUUAGGAAAAAUAAGAUCUUCGGGCAGCCUGGCAUAGAUAAAAUCUCACCCUCAAUCUGUCAGCCCUCAACGCUAAAUAUGAGGUCGGGUAGCAGUCUCUGGAUCACAGUCUGCACUCAAAAGAAUGCAGCAAUGUAGUAUCAGUACAAACACUAUGUAUCGGUAGAUAUCAUAGGCCGACUAAGAUUAGUAUCAUGCAUGAAUCAUAAAAUCAAUAAAAUAGAUAGACCAGUCAACAACACAUAAUCAAAUAACCCAACAACAAGUCAACCAAGGAUAUUAACAAUCAAGUCACCCAAUGAUAUCAAGAAUCAAGUCAACUGAAGCAAUUAAUGGAAAUAAGUCUACCGACAACAAUCUCAAUACUCAAUCACUGACCACAUAUGCUAAUUGGUGUCAUUGCCCAAUAGUCAUGACCUGCAGGGGACCCAUAGUGUCCAUGUACCACUCGUUCCAGAUUCACUCCUCGGACCCGAGCUCACAACUAGGCCAUAUCCUCAUCCCCGGUCAAAUGUGGAUGUUUAUAUCUAGGUCUCAUCCUCAAUCCCGAUCAAAUGAGCCUUUUCCAUAUAUAUACCUAUUUAUUGUCACAUCGCUUUCAUAAUCGAUUUAUCAUUUUGUACCUCAAUUUCACCAAGAAGAUUAUAUUAACUUCUCACCACAACAUCAUUAACCUAUAGGUCCUAACAUAUCGAAUAGUGGCACUAAGCUCAUAUAAUCACUCAAUCAAUAGCAUAUAGGAAUUUCAACCACACAUAUUAUGCUUGAAGACUAGACAUGCUUUCUCCUAUCAAUUUCACAACGCAUACAAUCAACUAAUCAAAGUCUAACUCAAGUAGACCGUAACCUACCUCAAUUAUAGAGCUAAAAUAAUGCAAAUUACUCCGCUAUAGCCUUUCCCUUCCGUAAUGCCUCGGACCGUUUAAAGUCAAUUAAGAUGCUAAAUAAGUCACAAUCACUCUAGUCACAAAAUCAAUUCAAUGAACACCCUUCCCUUUUUCCCAUUCUAAUGGGUGAAUGAUUUCUAGGUAUAAAUCAAUCUAACAUUGGUCGUAACAACCACGAACUAUCAAUUUACAAGACUAUUUAAUCAAAUUAUCUUUUAUAAGCAGUUUAUAUAGUCAAGCUACCAUCUUUAUGAAACCCUAAGUAUCAAUUCACUUAGUUCAUGUCUCUAAUGGUUCAAUUCUUGAUUAGAAAGUGAUUACCCAAGCCAUUAGAUGAUAACCACACAAUAAUAAUCAUGACCCACCAACUAUUGAAAAUCUAUUAAGUUCUAGGGUUACUAUUCUCAAUUCACCCUUGUAGACCCAUAAAAGGGAUGAUAAUUAUAGAGAUGAAAGCAUAAUUAUGGAAGGAAUGGUUGAGACUUACCUCUUAAUGAUAUUCUUUCCCUAGCUUAGAAUUUCGCCCUAAGUGCUUAUGGGGAACUGUUUUGGGGUUUUAUGAAGAAAAAAAUCGAAACUAAGUGUUUAAAAAUUGAGAAUUUGUCCCCGCCGACCGAUGCGGUGGUCCAAUCAUCGCUGCAGUAGUCCCGCCAUAGCGGACCACACAAACACAGUCCCUCUGCUGUGGCGAGCCUGGUCCUGCUGCAGCAGUCCCGCUACAGUGAUCCAGUGCCCGCCAUAGUGGACACCCUAUUUCCCAGAUGACCACGGUGGUGAGAGGGCUGCCGCUACAGCUGCCCUACCGUAGCGGUACAUACCCAGCCGCAGCGGUACCACUGAGCCAGUAGGCUCACAAAGUUUCACAAUUUUUUACUCUAUCAUGGAACACUUCAUCCGAGGCCUUAUAAACAAAAACCAAACAUGCACAUUAAUGUAAAAACAACAUGCAGACUCACCCGUGGCCUCAAAAUUCCCAACGGAGGUCUAAUUUCCUAUGUCACCCCCCAAUGGACUCAACAAAAUCAAACAAUAAUCACAAAUAAUUCAAAUUUUUAGUUCUUAGACUUAUACAUUCGAGUUUCUAUUAGCUCGUUCUACCCUUGGAGGGGUUCUCUUUGGUAGGGUGAUUCUAGAUUUUUCAUAACGACCAGGAGUGUCGUCACAUGAACGUUCAAUUCAUGUUGUUCACUUGAGAUUUCUCUCUUGGUGUAACGACUCGUUUGGCUGUUACAAUACUUUAACCUUGUUGACCUUUUUUCGAGCUUUAUUAGCUUAUAUUAGACUUACAGGGAAGGGGUACGAUUUUCGAGGUCAUUAGGUGAAUAUUAGAUUGGUUUUCUGAUAAUAAGCCUUAAAGAGAAAAAAAAUUGACCCAAAGUUGACUUUUGGGUAAACGGACCUUUUUCAAAAUUUCAUCAAUUUCAAGAGGUCCGGAUGGUCAUUUGUGACAUGUCAUUAUGUUCGGUUUGCUUCUCAAUGCGUUAGAAUGCAUUUUGGGACUUGAGUUAGAAAGUUGGUUUUGGGGUAUAAGGGGUUGACUUGGUCAACAAUACCCCCGUUGGGAAAUCCAAGGCCACGAGUGAGUUCUUAGCGUGUUUUUAUGUGUGUUUGCAUGUUUGUCUUGUAUUUGUGGGGCCUCGGGUGAUAGUCGAAUUUGGGGUAGCGAAUAAACAGACCUUUUUCGGAAAUCCGUCAAUUCUGAGAUGUCCGGAGGGUCGUUUAGAACUUGUGGUUAUAUCUAGUUCGGUUCUCAAUGCACUCGGAUGCAUUUUGGGACAUGAGUUGGGAAGCUGGAAUUGAGGCAUCGGCAGUUGACUCGGUCAACGAGGCCUCCAUUAGGAAUUUCGAGGCUACGAGUGCAUUCGUAGCGUGUUUUUAUGUGAGGUUGUGUAUAUGGUUUAUGAGCCGAUGGCCUCGGGAGUUAGUCAGAAUUUCGGGUUGAGUUGUGAAAAUUGUGAUGGUUUUCUGGUGUUUGGUUCCCGUUUUGGCGGCACCAGUACCGCGACAGCGGUACCGCUAUAACCGUCACCCUACUGCUGAAGCAGCCGUGCCGUUUAGAAAUGACUGCUGGGGUGGCGCCGCUAAGGCGGUCUGAGUGACCGUGGAAGCGGUGAUUGGGCAGUGACUAGGGUAUUUAAUGAUAUAAAACCCAAGUCUUUUCAUUCAUUAUUAUUCCAGAAAUAGUUCAUAUUGGGAGCAAUUCUAGAGGAUCCUUGGAGAAGAUUCUUGGUGGUAAGUCCCUUUAAUCCCCUUGCCAAUUCAUUAUUCCUAAUCAUCUUAAAAUCCCUCUUUCCUAGUUAGUUCAUUAGUAAUGGAAGAUUAAAAUUGGGUUUGAUGGAUUUUUUAUCUAGGCUUUUUAAUGAUGAAAUUGAUUGGGUUUAUGCUAGAUUAUGAUGUAUCUAAGGUUGUUAAUCAUAUAUCUCCCAUUAUUAGUGUUGAAUUCUACUAUCUAAGAGUUAGGGUUUAUACCCAAAAUUGGGGGUUUUGCUUGGAUUUCGAAAUUGGAUAAAUCAUUGAGUAAAUUUAGCAAUUGGUUGAUGGGUUUUGAUCACCUAGUGUUUAAUUAGAUAUUUUACCCCCGAAUUUCCUAUUUUGACCUUGUGGGUCCCGUUUCCCCAAAUUCUAGGGUUGCAUUUUGACCUAAUUUGAAUGAUAGCAAGAUAGGUAUCGAUCUUCACAAUUUCUAAUCUAGAUUUCAAAUAUGCCUAGACUUUCUUGAUCUUGAGGUUCAGCGGAAGGGCAAGGCUAAGGAGUGAUUAAUGGUGUAUUGUUGUUCGGCCAUCCAGGUAGAUUAUGGCUUACCCUUGGUGAGACUUCGUGUAGCGAAGCAUAUAUUUAGAUGAUCUUCUCAGAGACAGCAUGUAAACCUUCGGGUAUGAAGUUGGGUUUGGAUAUUGUCUUAGGUACGGCCCAGUUGUGUGAUUGGGGUUAGCCACCCCGUUAGGUUUUGACAUGAUUGUUCUAUUGUUGUUGGCUUGAUGCCAUGUGAUGAUAGUAGAUACUGUUGACUGUUGUUACAUCUUGAUUAUAAUAUUGUCGUACCUUACUUGUUGAUAUUGAUACGAGGAUAGAGUUCUAUAUGACUUGUAUAGUCUUUCAUGAUAUUGUUAGCGUGCCCAUGUUUGGUACUUGUGAUAUUGAUCUGAUUAUUGAUAUUGACACAUACAUUACACGCAUUCUCAUCCUUCAUGAUAUACUGUUGAUACGUUAUUGAUACCUGAUAAAAUACUGUAAUGAGUUGGGCUCGGUUUGGAUGAAAGUGACGUGAGAGUCUGAUAUCCGAUGUUUGUCCCACAAUCGUGGAUUGAGUGAGUGCAUGGACUCUGCGGGUCCCCCGAGGUGGUGCUGAUAAAAAUCCUCCGUGGGUAAAGAUCCUGAGUCUCAUUUGUCUAUUAGGCAAAGAUCCGGGAUGAGUAGCACUUAGACUUCGCGAGCCACCUUGGGUUGUGCUACCGAGACGUCGAUACUUCCGUCUGGUGUACAUGUGUACGCAGCAUUGCAUUGCAUUUGCAUUCUUACAACAUUACAUUGCAGUGCAUUAUGGUUUAUAUUAUGAUGAUCUGGUGAAUUACUUGUGUUGUUUAGUUUCGGAUUGGAUAUAUUGAGACUUGGCAAACUUGGGUUUAGAUGCUUCAACCUAGGUGAUGAUGUGCACUUGGUUCUGGCUGUGUUCCAGGUUGGAUCUUCUUCCGUCUCCCGUGGCUGAUAGUCCCUAUCAAGAUUGCUUUGAGUCUACAGUGUGAGCACGAGAUGUCCACUGCCUUGAAGACUCUUCUUGUUUAUGUCUUACUUUCCCAUUCUGAGAUAUAUACAUAUUUGAAGUAUUAUUAUAAUUCUAGACUUGUAUAUUUCGGAUCUAGAUGCUCUUGUAUGGCUUAGACCAGACCCUGGAUGUAUUUUCUUAUUUCUGCACUUUCUUUUGUACUAUUAUCGUAAGACUUACGUGAUUUAUUCUC